GGCUGGUCUCAGUGCAGUGGCAUUUUCAAUUAACCGAUCACAACCAGUUACAGAUUUCUUCAUUCCUUUUCCACUCCCAUUGUUUAACUUGACUAGCCUUAA
rnacentral:Y_RNA from 1 species